rnacentral:rRNA from 2 species
AGGUGCGAUCAUACCAGCACUAAUGCACCGGAUCCCAUCAGAACUCCGCAGUUAAGCGUGCUUGGGCGAGAGUAGUACUGGGAUGGGUGACCUCC